rnacentral:rRNA from 1 species
AACAUGGUCUUUUGUUUAUAUAAAAGAUCUUACCUGCUCAGUGAGUUUUAAAUAGCUGCAGUAUUUUGACUGUACAAAGGUAGCAUAAUCACUUGUCCUUUAAUUGAGGUCUGGAAUGAAUGGUUUGAUGAGAAAUAUACUUUAUUUAUUUUUGAUAAAAAACUUAAUUUUUAAGUUAAAAAGCUUGGAAAUUUUUUUAUAGGACGAGAAGACCCUAUAGAACUUUAUUUAUAUAUUUUUAUAUUUUUUUGGGUUAUAUAUUUUUAAUAGAAAAAUAUAAAUUUUGUUGGGGUGACAGAAAAAAUAUUAUAACUUUUUUUAAUUUUUACAUUAAUGGAUGUAUUUUUGAUCCUUUUUUUGGAAAAAAGAAUAAGUUACCUUAGGGAUAACAGCGUUAUUGUUUCGGAGAGUUCAUAUUGAUGAAAUAGUUUGCGACCUCGAUGUUGGAUUAAAAUAAGAUAUAGAAGUAGAAUGUUAUAUUCUUGGUCUGUUCGACCUUUAAAUUUUUACAUGAUCU